rnacentral:rRNA from 1 species
CCUACGGGAGGCAGCAGUGAGGAAUAUUGGUCAAUGGACGAGAGUCUGAACCAGCCAAGUAGCGUGAAGGAUGACUGCCCUAUGGGUUGUAAACUUCUUUUAUAUGGGAAUAAAAUGUUCCACGUGUGGGAUUUUGUAUGUACCAUAUGAAUAAGGAUCGGCGAACUCCGUGCCAGCAGCCGCGGUAAUACGGAGGAUCCGAGCGUUAUCCGGAUUUAUUGGGUUUAAAGGGAGCGUAGGUGGAUUGUUAAGUCAGUUGUGAAAGUUUGCGGCGCAACCGUAAAAUUGCAGUUGAAACUGGCAGUCUGGAGUACAGUAGAGGUGGGCGGAAUUCGUGGUGUAGCGGUGAAAUGCUUAGAUAUCACGAAGAACUCCGAUUGCGAAGGCAGCUCACUGGACUGCAACUGACACUGAGGCUCGAAAGUGUGGGUAUCAAACAGGAUUAGAUACCCUUGUAGUC